UCAAUGAGCAGCCUUUUAAUCCAUUGGUCCGUCUCGUUUUUUUUUCAAGUAAAACGUCCACGUGUAUAAAAUGAAAUGAGAAAAAUGGGCAAGCACAAGGGGUGUAUCUCGGGUAAUCCCUGUUUGCUAUCAAUCUGAAACCACGCCUCACUCUUUAGCAUGUCUGAGCGCAUGACUGUGGGGAGAGUGUUUCAAGGCUCCGCAGCAUAGGAUGGGAAGCCAUUGGCAACCUGGCACGAUUUAUGAACGAAAGACUUGACGCGUCGAUCAAUGUCCAACAGUCUUCAUUGUCCACACGUCCAUCGCUGCUGAGCGCCAUUUUUGAGAUUGCAAGGUGUGGGGUUGCUG